CUGCGCACGCGUGCUGGGCCCUUCCGCUUCCGAGCGGCUGUGGCUCGGCGUACGGCCGCGGGGACGCCUUCGGGGAGGGCCCCGCGGAGGGGCGCUGACAGCCCGGCUUGAAUGGCUGACCCUUGGUCGGUCUCGGAUCCGGCCCAGGGCGGCGCCCCUACCUCGCGGCCCGGCCCACCGGGCUGACCGCUCAAACCCCUGCUCCCAGAUCUCUCCGUGCAGGACCUUUGAGCCCCACACUCCCCUUUCCUAAGACGGUGUCCUAUCCGCGAAGGUCGUGCGGGGAUGGAUGAGGUGACGCAGGGAAGGCAGGCUGGGCGAAAUGGGGUGGCCAGCUCCUGGGGCCCAGUGGACACGGUCUUCCCCGGAAGGCCACUCCCACCAGCCUGCGCUCCAGCCCAGUGGCACCAGGCGCUUUCUCGGGACGCGCCACACUGCUUCCGCUCUCUCAUGCUUUGCUCCUCUCCGACCUUUUGCUUGGAAGGUGUUUUCCCUCCUUCUGGCUUCUUCUGCCCGACUCUUUUUCGCUAAUGUUACCCCAGGGUGCCGCUUGGUGAAGGUCCUGCAGUGCGUACUCAGUGCAAAUCUGUUCUCCGGGGUGCGCGAAUGUGGAACUCCUGGUCUUAGCAGGCUCCCCACUGUAAAGAGACUGAAUUUGGCUGAAUGGCGUCCUCCCUAGGAGGCUCCGCCAGCACUCAGCCCUCACCGUCAGGAAGAAAUAGCCCGCCUGAAGUGGUUUUCCCGCACCAGAACUGCCUGACGCUGGACUGGGAUGGGUCUGCAGUCCCCAUCUCAGGCCUUUUGAUUUUUCCUGUGCUCCCCACAAGUUGAACACAACUUUCCGUAGUCGCUCCACGUUUACAUAAGUGACAAGACUUCAGAGAAACAGGGUGGAAUAUUCAGGCAGCACAGGUGUCCCAGCUAGAGAGGUCAGAGAAUCUAGCUAGGGGUGAGGCCAGGAGUCAGGUUAGGCGUGUGUGUGGGGGGGGGGGGGUCAUGUUAGACAUCUGGUUAGGGAGGCAGGUUAGGGAUGGGGGGUCAUGUUAGACAUCUGGUUAGGAGGCAGGUUAGGGAGGCAAGAUUAGGGAUGUGUGUGUUUGGGUCAUGUUAGACAUCUGAUUAGGAGGCAGGUUGGGAAUGGGGGGGGGUCAUGAGGCAGGUUAGGGAGGCGGGUUAGGAGACAGAUCAGGGAUCAGAGAAAGACCCCGCUAUUUGCCGUACUGCAGCCAUGAUCAGGCUCAGAGCAGGUGAAGUUGGAUUUGACGGGGUUGGAGUUUUGCCCAGAAGUGUGACAAAGGAGGAGAGGGACAGUGGAGUAAAGAUGUGUGCAGAAGAGUGGCCAUAGGGCUUGACUGGGAAAUUUAAACUGGGGCGGGGGGUGGGGGGAGGGUGGAAGAGGUGGGAGCAGUGCGGGACGGUGGGAAGUGGCAGGACCACCGGCCUGUGGAGGCUGCUCAUCCUGAAGAGGGUUUGGACUCAGGUACCAGAGCAAGAGGGGGGUGCUCACAGUGGGUGGUGGGUGGCCCACAUUUACCGGCCACGGCAGGGGCUAGGAAGUGAGCCCGGGAGAAGAGCCUCAAGUGAGGCUGGAGGCCAAGGUCCUUGGGUAGAAGAGCCAGGACGCCUUUGAGCGCCAUGGGGAAAGGCAUGCCUUCCUCCGACUGAAAGCAGGCUCACCGGGCACACGCAGCAGAAGGGGUGGGCGCUGGCCUCCAGCCCCCUCUCACCUGUCAGAACAACCUGCAUGACCGGGGCAGUGGCCCGGGCUCGGAGCGCUGGGUUCUCCUUUCACCGGCCUCCCUUGACCCUUCUUCCUUCUGCCUGCAAAGCACUGAGGGUGAUGGAAUGGAAAGAAAGGACCCUGGACUGCCAACCUUGGACUUGUUUGACUUAAAAAGAGAGACAGAGCAUGAACGGGGGAGGAGCAGAGAGAGAGGGAGACACAGAAUCGGAAGCAGGC